AACGCUGGCGGCGUGCCUAAUACAUGCAAGUCGAGCGAACGGACGAGAAGCUUGCUUUUCUGAUGUUAGCGGCGGACGGGUGAGUAACACGUGGAUAACCUACCUAUAAGACUGGGAUAACUUCGGGAAACCGGAGCUAAUACCGGAUAAUAUUUUGAACCGCAUGGUUCAUAAGUGAAAGACGGUCUUGCUGUCACUUAUAGAUGGAUCCGCGCUGCAUUAGCUAGUUGGUAAGGUAACGGCUUACCAAGGCAACGAUGCAUAGCCGACCUGAGAGGGUGAUCGGCCACACUGGAACUGAGACACGGUCCAGACUCCUACGGGAGGCAGCAGUAGGGAAUCUUCCGCAAUGGGCGAAAGCCUGACGGAGCAACGCCGCGUGAGUGAUGAAGGUCUUCGGAUCGUAAAACUCUGUUAUUAGGGAAGAACAUAUGUGUAAGUAACUGUGCACAUCUUGACGGUACCUAAUCAGAAAGCCACGGCUAACUACGUG
rnacentral:rRNA from 1 species